rnacentral:rRNA from 1 species
GACAGAGGGUGCAAACGUUGCUCGGAAUUACUGGGCGUAAAGCGCGUGUAGGCGGACCACCAAGUCGGACGUGAAAUCCCUGGGCUCAACCCAGGAACUGCAUCCGAAACUGGCGGUCUGGAGUAGUGGAGAGGAAAGCAGAAUUCCUGGUGUAGAGGUGAAAUUCGUAGAUAUCAGGAGGAACACCGGUGGCGAAGGCGGCUUUCUGGACACUUACUGACGCUGAGACGCGAAAGCUAGGGGAGCAAACGGG